rnacentral:rRNA from 1 species
UAACGCGUGGAUAACCUGCCGUAUACAGGGGGAUAACACUUAGAAAUAGGUGCUAAUACCGCAUAAGCGCACGGUUCCGCAUGGAACAGUGUGAAAAACUCCGGUGGUAUACGAUGGAUCCGCGUCUGAUUAGCCAGUUGGCGGGGUAACGGCCCACCAAAGCGACGAUCAGUAGCCGGCCUGAGAGGGUGAACGGCCACAUUGGGACUGAGACACGGCCCAAACUCCUACGGGAGGCAGCAGUGGGGAAUAUUGCACAAUGGGGGAAACCCUGAUGCAGCGACACCGCGUGAGUGAAGAAGUAUUUCGGUACGUAAAGCUCUAUCAGCAGGGAAGAAAAAAAGUCCUUUGGACUUUGGACGGUACCUGACCAAGAAGCCCCGGCUAACUACGUGCCAGCAGCCGCGGUAAUACGUAGGGGGCAAGCGUUAUCCGGAUUUACUGGGUGUAAAGGGAGCGUAGACGGCAGCGCAAGUCUGGAGUGAAAUGCCGGGGCCCAACCCCGGAACUGCUUUGGAAACUGUGCAGCUCGAGUGCAGGAGAGGUAAGCGGAAUUCCUAGUGUAGCGGUGAAAUGCGUAGAUAUUAGGAGGAACACCAGUGGCGAAGGCGGCUUACUGGACUGUAACUGACGUUGAGGCUCGAAAGCGUGGGGAGCAAACAGGAUUAGA